CCUACGGGUGGCAGCAGUGAGGAAUAUUGGUCAAUGGGCGCGAGCCUGAACCAGCCAAGUAGCGUGAAGGAUGACUGCCCUACGGGUUGUAAACUUCUUUUAUGCGGGAAUAAAGUGAUGCACGUGUGCCUUUUUGUAUGUACUUUAUGAAUAAGGAUCGGCUAACUCCGUGCCAGCAGCCGCGGUAAUACGGAGGAUCCGGGCGUUAUCCGGAUUUAUUGGGUUUAAAGGGAGCGUAGAUGGGUUGUUAAGUCAGUUGUGAAAGUUUGCGGCUCAACCGUAAAAUUGCAAUUGAUACUGGAAGUCUUGAGUACAGUGGAGGUAGGCGGAAUUCGUGGUGUAGCGGUGAAAUGCUUAGAUAUCACGAAGAACCCCGAUUGCGAAGGCAGCUUACUAAACUGCCACUGACACUGAUGCUCGAAAGUGUGGGUAUCAAACAGGAUUAGAUACCCGUGUAGUC
rnacentral:rRNA from 1 species